AGUGAACGCUGGCGGUAGGCCUAACACAUGCAAGUCGAACGGCAGCACAGUAAGAGCUUGCUCUUACGGGUGGCGAGUGGCGGACGGGUGAGGAAUACAUCGGAAUCUACUUUUUCGUGGGGGAUAACGUAGGGAAACUUACGCUAAUACCGCAUACGACCUACGGGUGAAAGCAGGGGAUCUUCGGACCUUGCGCGAUUGAAUGAGCCGAUGUCGGAUUAGCUAGUUGGCGGGGUAAAGGCCCACCAAGGCGACGAUCCGUAGCUGGUCUGAGUGGAUGAUCAGCCACACGGGAACGGAGACACGGUCCAGACUCCUACGGGAGGCAGCAGUGGGGAAUAUUGGACAAUGGGCGCAAGCCUGAUCCAGCCAUACCGCGUGGGUGAAGAAGGCCUUCGGGUUGUGAAGCCCUUUUGUUGGGAAAGAAAAGCAGCAGGUUAAUACCCCGCUGUUCUGACGGUACCCAAAGAAUAAGCACCGGCUAACUUCGUG
rnacentral:rRNA from 1 species